rnacentral:rRNA from 1 species
GAUCAUGGCUCAGGAUGAACGCUAGCUACAGGCUUAACACAUGCAAGUCGAGGGGCAGCAUGAACUUAGCUUGCUAAGUUUGAUGGCGACCGGCGCACGGGUGAGUAACACGUAUCCAACCUGCCGAUGACUCGGGGAUAGCCUUUCGAAAGAAAGAUUAAUACCCGAUGGCGUAGUUCUUCCGCAUGGUAGAACUAUUAAAGAAUUUCGGUCAUCGAUGGGGAUGCGUUCCAUUAGGUUG